GUCGCCGUACUCAAGUGGUCAACGAGAAGCGGUUCAGACCCGCUGGCGUAGGUCCUUCCGAGGUUCGAAUCCUCGCGGCGACA
rnacentral:tRNA from 1 species